GUACUCGCUUCUGUAGUACAUAUACUAAAAUUGGAACGAUACAAAGAAGAUUAGCAUGGCCCUGCACAAGGAUGAUAUGCAAAUUUAUGACAUGUUCCAUAUUAAA
rnacentral:snRNA from 1 species